rnacentral:tRNA from 1 species
AAAUUUUUAGUUUAAACAAAACGUCUACUUUGGAUGUAGAAAAUUCUUUCAUUAGAUUAAUUAA